AACAGUGACCGCGACUCCUGAUCCUGACCCGAAGAAACUGACCAUGACUCUCAGCAAAGGCCACGUCCCCGCAGACUCUCCCUGCUCGACUUCAGGGAGAAACUCUGCAAGAGAGUCGGUGUCGAGGUUUCUCAGGAAGUCCGAGAGGAGGAGAACGGUGCGUGCCUCGGUGAAGAUGACUCCUUCGUCGUUGCAGGAUAAGGAGAUGCCUUCUAGAUGUCCAGCUAGAGGAGGGAAACGUGAGAGAGUCUCGGAUAGAGAGGUUUUAAGCCUCCGGGAUAUGAACUCCGGGGACUCUGAUCCGGUGAUGGAUUUGAAGAAGAAGGUAGUUGCCACGUAGAUUGCUGGACAGCUGAGAUCGAACAAGGAAAGUUGGAGGCGAUCAUGAUGAGGUGCGGGUGAAGAAGGCUUGAUCACUUCUCUUCCGGUCACUUCUAGCUUCAGUUCCAUUAUUGUCUACCUCAAACUCAACUUUUACUUGAAAAGAUAUAUAAAGAAAAUUAAGUGCUGACAAAUACGAAUACCUUGUUGAGCUUUAAGGCGUGAGUGGAUCAGAAAUUAGGUCCUUACUCUAUGCUAUUCAAGAGGAUAGUACAUCUUUAUCUUUUUUUUUUUUUUUUUUUUUUUUUUGACAGCAGUACAUCUUUUUCAAAACUAAAGUUUCAUUUGAUCACUAGUAGAAAUUUUUGAUAUAGCGACAUACUAACCACCAAAAAAGUUAAGUGCUGACAAUUCACAAUUUCUUUGCUUAGUUUUCAUUGAUUUUGUUUCUUAGAUUUUUCAGUUUAUAAUACUUUAAUUUAUAAUUUUAUUUAAUAUUGUUUUGAAUUUAAUUUUUAGAAUCAAAUUUAAUAGGUUUUAGAUUUAGAUAUAAGGGUUUGUAUGUAAAUGUUUAAAUCCUGUAAAGUUUGUAUGUAAAUAUUUAAUUAUUUGUAUAUAUAAUUUGGUUAUAUUUUUGUUUUAUGAUUUAGAUUUUAUAUGCUUAUGAUUUACAUUUUGCUGAUUUAGUUUAAAAAUAAGUUUAAAGGCGAAGGUUACUUUUGUUGUCCAAAAAAAAAGUGAAGGUUAUUUUUAUGAUUUUGGAGUUUGGAAUUUGGUGAAUACAGGGUUUAGAUUUUAGAUAUAAGGUUUGUGAUUAAGAUUUCAAAAAUUUAUAUUGAAAAGUUAUAACUUGUUAUAAGAUUAAGAUCUUAGUUUAAUUCAUAUUAUAGUAUUAAUUUUUUUGUUUAGUGUUUAGGGUUUCAAAAUUUAUAUGUAUUUUAAAUGAUUAAUGUUAUUCAAAGUUAAUAUGCUAAUAGUUCUAACAAUUAUUUUAUGUGUAUAGUUAAUAGUUAUAUUUGAUAUAAUGUUUUAAUUUCACUAUAAUAAUUAAGAAGUUAAAAUUUGAAGAUUUAAUGUUUCAGAUAUAUGGUUUGGUGUUUGGGGUAUAGGUUUCAAGUUUAAAUUUAAGAUUUGAGGUUAAAGUUUUUUUUUGGCUUGGAGUUUAAAGUUAAGAUUCAUGUUUUAAAAUGAUUAGAUAUAUAGUUUUAAAUGUAAAAUUUAAGUUUAAAGUUUAGGAAUUAGAUUUUAUGAUUUUGUAUAAAAGUAACGAUUCAACUAUAUUUUCUAAUGUGUAGUAAAUUAUAUUUUAUAUGAAGAAAAUGAAUUUUUUUAUCAAAGGAUCAGAAAAAAAUUAGAUCCGGAUCUCCUAUGGAAAUUAUUUUGAAGAUCCAAAACAAAAAAAAAAGUGGUAUUUGUUAGCAACAACAUAUAUUUUAAAAAUUGUAGAUAUUUAUAAACACGGUUCAAAUCAUGGCUAAAAUAAAUAUGGGUUAGCCACAAUUUAUAGGAAGUGUCUAUAAAUAACUACAAUUUAACCAUAGUUAUUUUUUAAAAUGUGGAUAUUUCUACUAAUAUGUGGUUAGACCGUGACUUUUUAAUUCUAGGGAUAAUUUGCAAAAUACCCUAUUUGAGAUUUGAAAUUUGAAAAUUGCAUUUUAUAUUUUACUUUUUGAAAAAUACACUUCUUUAAUUAUGAAUUGACUUUUUUACCCAAGAUAUUUCAAAAAUUAAGAUAUAAAUUCGAAAUUAAUAUAUAAAUUCGAAAUUAAUAUAUAAAUUCGAAAUUAGUAUAUAAAUUCGAAAUUAAUAAAAUAAUAUCAAAAUUAUUUUGUUUAAGAUAAACAUGUUAUUUUAUCAUUUAUAAUAACAAAGAUAAAUAUGUAAAUUAUGAUUUGUUUUGACUUUGUCAUGAAGUUUAUACAGAUUUCCUUUUAUUUUAUUUUCUUCAACUUAUAUAAACAAGUCACGUUGUUAAAAGAAAAAGCAAAUCACGUUUGUCUCCUACUAUCUUUUAUUUAGUUAUAUUGAAAUUUUGUGUUCGUUGGUUUGACAUGGUAUCAUGAUGGGAGGAUGAAACUUGCGGAUGUUAAAUUGACAGAGUUUGAACCGGGAGUGGAGAUGGAAAAGGAGGACGAUCUGCCUUUGUCGAAUGUAGCAAUUGAUGAUAUCUUCUGAUGGAACAGGUUAAGUAGGAAAAAUACAUUAACAAAUGAGCAGUCUCAUCAUUCAAAAUUCAAGUUCUAUCAUAUCAUUCCGCCAUUGCUCCUCAGUUACUUCCUAGUCACUUAACACAAAAGUUCCACGUUUAUGAGGUUCUUGCAGUUGAGAGACUAGUACUAGUCACAAUAGUAACAAUACUAAAUAUUGCAGGACUUAUCCUGUGUCAACAUGACAUUGUAGUCCCUGAUUGUUACAACAUUUAUAAACUCCAAUAUUCACAUGAUUGUUUUCACACCUCCUUGAAGUCUUGUGUUGUUGUGCGUGAAUCUUCUCCACGUCUUCUUCGGUUGUCUCUACAACCGGAUAAUGCCUCCUUUCACUCAUAGGUAAGCAUCUCCUUCUUGUGCCGAGUAGCCUUGCUCUGUUUCUUCCAACAUGCGGCCUCUCCCGUGUAGUCGUCUUUAACAAAAGACUCCACACCACUCUCGUUAAUGAGCCAGGGGUUAUGCGUUUAUCUUCUCUAUGGCGGGAGAGUUUCAGUUAUAAGUGUAACAAUCUCUUAGGUUAUAGUUUAACUACACCACCGUGCUGUCUUUUUGACUACUACUGUCUAGUUUCUACCAAAUCUAUGUUUUUAACUUCUUUAAAGGGUAACAAGUGUAGCAGAGACAAACGGUCUUGGACAAAGUAGGAGCUAAAGAAAUACAAAACAAAAAGUUGGAGCUAAAGAGUUCUCUCAUGGGAUCAAUCAGAUAAGAGUAUGAAACUAGAACGAGCAUUUACAGAUUUUGUGCUCUGCAAUUUCAGAGUCCAUCUAACACAUAAACGACACUUGCGUGGAACUUGAACAGAAGCAGAAUUCUUCAAAAGGUGUAGAACAAAUGGAAAACAUAACAAAUGUUGUGAAAAUAAUCAACCUUAUUACAAAAUAAAAACUAAGACAAUUACCAAAACCUAGAGUAACCAAAACCAAACAUUGCAGAAAAAAUGUCUAGAACAAACGUCUAGAACAGAACAAACUUCAAAUUCCAAAGUCGCAACUGACAUGAUUGUGUCCUGAACGAUGACAUCUUGAGCAAGCUUGUUUUCGUGCUUUUUUUUUAGCUGUUGCUUGUUCUCCAAAGCAUUCAUAUCUUCUUUUCACAGGUCUUCCAGCACCUCUUUUAAAUCUGGAGGAAACCAUUUAUAAGCCACAACAUGUGGAGGUAUUUCGCUUGCUUCCAGCAACUCAUCUAUGGGUCUUAUACUCUCUGAAUAUGCAGCACCAAUGUUUGCCUUUGAGUAGUACUGAUGCAUAAAUAACCCAGGGUUAAAGUCUCGACUUGUUGCAGCCUUAGCAGCAUGCUUACAAGGGAUCUUGUCAACAUUAAACACAUUACAUGUGCAAGUCAUUUGUUGAAGAUCAACCAAGUAAUUUCUUGACCCAUCAGUAACCUGAAACUCAUGUUGAUUUAUAGACUGAACAUCAAAAGUAGACGCCAAAUCACACCUUCUAUUGAGCUUCUUUUCAACUUUAGGCGUGAGAGAAGAUUUGAGCAUCGCAACACUUUUUCGACGUUUGAAAAACCACCGUGUAAGCAAAAUUAGAAAUUGAAAUCUGAUUGAUGAAUCAACAAACCUCUUGAGAUGAGAGGAAGAAUCUGUAAAACUAGAGAGAAAAGAAAUAAAUUUCAGAAAUUGAAUGGAUACGAGAAGAAGACGAGACUAGUCUUGAAAAGAUAUUCCCUGUUAAAAAGUAUAUUAAAAAGAUAUUCCCUAUUCUCUAGCGAUUUUCUUUUAAAAUAAUUUUUUUAAAAAUUGUUUAAUAGGAAUUGAUAAAUAUUAAGAUUGGGAAAUUUGGUAAAUUUAUAUAUAGAUAAGUGUAUUUUUCAAAAACUAUAAACAAAAGUGUAUUUUUCAAAUUAUAUUUUUAUUGAAGUGCAUUUAUCCAAAUUUUCCCUUAAUUCUAACCACAAUUUAUUUGCGGCUAAUCUGUGGCUAUAGUGAAUAUUUUUACUAGUGUAUCUAAAAUAUAUAGCGGUAAACAAAGAUUAUGUAUCACUAGUUUAGUUGUCCGAAUUGUAUUACAUAACAUAUCUAUUUUAAGUAUGGAUAUUAAAGUUUUUUUAUAUAAAAGCUACUUUUUUUUUUGGAAUAGAUGAAUAUCUCAAAAAAAAAUCUGCCCAAUAAUCCAAGAACAUCAUGCUUUAGCCUGAAUUGAUAAGGGUUGCCACUCUCUUAUUAUUGUUCCAUUAGAAACAACUGUGACGUAAAAACUUUUUAUAUUGUUCUAUUGAUAAAUGAUAGUCAAAGAAAUCAUCGUUUCAAAUAGUCAAUUAAUUAGAAUUUUGUGAUGCUUUUCGGAAUAACUAUAAUUUGCACCGAAAACUCUAUCACCAUCACUAAAGAACCAUGAACGAAAUCGAUAAGAACUAUCACUACUACUGCUUUAAAAUAUACUCUUUCCGUUUCAUUUUAAUUGUCGUUUUAGAAUUGGACACACUGCUUAAUAAAAAAAUAAUUUUCUAUAUUUUAUAAAUAAAAACAUUAUUACCAAUAUUCCUAAUCCCAUAGAAAAAUAGAUUGGAAUAGAAAAUCAAAAAAAAAAAUCAUUGAAAUUAAAAAA